rnacentral:lncRNA from 1 species
GGGCAAUGAUACAUUAUUUGCAGCUCAAUAUAAUAAAAAACAAGAGAUAGUCUCUGGGUUUGGUGGCUAUUCUUUUAUUUUCCUGGCUAUUACCAAUAUUUAACAAACAAAAUUGACUUGCCAUAGUUACCAGGAAAUCAGUGUCUAUGCACAUUCAUUUCAGGUUGCAUUGUACUAUACCUGAAUAUGCAUAUGCCAAAAGAUGCCUUGACAUUUGCAACCUGCAGCACUUAAGAGGAAUAGCCCCAUUAUAAAUGGUCAUUUUUCAUUAUAGCCUGCAUUUCUUUAAGAGACGGCCAGAGAAAUGAAAGCUGUUUGCCAGAAGACUUGUUUUCAAUACGAAUGUAAAGAGAAUGAAUCCAUGAACAGGUCACCUUAGAGAAGGUUAAAUAAGCCAACCUGCCUUUGCAGUGGCUUUUCUGUACACCACCUCUUUUCUGUCCUGUUGGCUGCUGCCCUUUGCUCAGGCCAUCAUUUUCUCUUAUACUGUUAGUAGCUAAUGUAGUUGCUUCCAGCUAACAAAACAAAUCAUUCAACCUGAAAAGAGGAUGUUUUCAAUAACUCUCACCAUUUUGCCAAUGGUGAAAGUAAAGAUAUAAGAGAUCCAGUUAUUUCCCCUAGGUUAUAUAGGUAAUUGGUUUCAGGGCUCAGACUUUCCAGUACAGCACUUGAUGGUUAUAUGGUAUUUCGACUUUUUAAACACUACGGUUUGAAUUCAGCUGAAUUAGUCAUGGUAGGCUAACUACUCUAAUAACAACCUUACAUUUCAAUGGAUUAACAGAAUAAAAGUUUAUUUCUUCAUUAUAUAAAAUUCAAGGACGUGAGCUUUUAUGUCAUCAUCCAGGAACCUAGGUUCUUUUUAUCUUGUGUCUCUACUAGGCUCUAUGUCCUCAUAAUCCGCUCCUUUUGGUUAGAAAGGGGGAAAAGGGAGCAUAGGAUUAUCUGUUGGAAGUUUAUGAGGUAUUCUGAAAGUGGUACAAAUACUUUUGCCCAUUUUCCAUUGGGUAGAACGAAAUCACACAGCCAAACCAACCUCAAGGGAGGCUGAACAACAUGGUCGAGUCAUGUGUCUAGCAGAAAAAAGAAAGGAUGUUUCAAACACCUGUAUUUGCCCUAGACACUUUGAUUGACCUACUUUGAUGUAUACAUACUUGACUGGCUUAAAAAUCUUAAAAAUAUUCACUGUUUUAAAAAUGUGCAAGUAUAUAUUAAAAUAGAUACCCUUAGCCUAUACAUGAUAUACAAUCCAUCUCUGAGUCUUAUCUUGAAUCAGUUAGAAUCAAAUUUAACCACAAAUAACAUGAGCCACAAAUAACAUUGGCUUAACCAAGAUAGAAAUGUAUUUCAUUCUGUUUCUUUCAUGUAAAAAGAAAUUUAGAAUGAAACUUGGAAUUGAAAUCAAAGCUGGUAAUACUCACCAUCAUGGGAAUUCAGACUCUAUCAUCUUACUUCUAAACUUAAGGUCAUUUUACUGUAGAAUUUAGGGAAUAAUUAAAACAAACAAACAAACAAACAAAACCCUGAGGUCAUCUCAUGAGCCAAGCUAGUCACUGCCAUUCCCACCUUCUAUUCACACUGCAGGUUGAAAAAAAUAACAGAAAAAAAAAAAAA